rnacentral:sRNA from 1 species
AGACUUGUUUACUAUGGACGAUGAUCUGGAGCAGCAGCCUCAAGGCUGGCUGAGUAGCUGGCUGCCCACGUGGCGCCCCACUUCCAUGUCUCAGCUGAAGAAUGUGGAAGCCAGGAUCCUCCAGUGUCUCCAGAAUAAGUUCCUGGCUAGAUAUGUAUCCCUCCCAAACCAGAAUAAGAUCUGGACGGUGACUGUGAGCCCCGAGCAAAAGGACCGCACCCCCUUGGUGAUGGUGCAUGGUUUUGGGGGCGGUGUGGGCCUCUGGAUCCUCAACAUGGACUCACUGAGUGCCCGCCGCACACUGCACACCUUCGAUCUGCUUGGCUUUGGGCGAAGCUCAAGGCCAGCAUUCCCAAGGGACCCGGAGGGGGCUGAGGAUGAGUUUGUGACAUCGAUAGAGACAUGGCGGGAGACCAUGGGGAUCCCCAGCAUGAUCCUCCUGGGGCACAGUUUGGGAGGAUUCCUGGCCACUUCUUACUCAAUCAAGUACCCUGAUAGAGUUAAACACCUCAUCCUGGUGGACCCAUGGGGCUUUCCCCUCCGACCAACUAACCCCAGUGAGAUCCGUGCACCCCCAACCUGGGUCAAAGCUGUUGCAUCUGUCCUAGGACGUUCCAAUCCAUUGGCUGUUCUUCGAGUAGCUGGGCCCUGGGAGAGAAGAAAGAGAGAGAUCAGGGAUCAGAAGUCGAUCAGUAGACCUCAUUUUUACAGUCUGUUGUUGCAUGGCCUGGCCUGGUGCAGCGAUUCCGGCCGGACUUCAAACGCAAGUUUGCAGACUUCUUUGAAGAUGAUACCAUAUCAGAGUAUAUCUAUCACUGCAACGCACAGAAUCCCAGUGGUGAGACGGCAUUCAAAGCCAUGAUGGAGUCCUUUGGCUGGGCCCGGCGCCCUAUGCUGGAGCGAAUUCACUUGAUUCGAAA